rnacentral:rRNA from 1 species
CCUACGGGCGGCAGCAGUGGGGAAUAUUGGACAAUGGGGGCAACCCUGAUCCAGCCAUGCCGCGUGUGUGAAGAAGGCCCUCGGGUUGUAAAGCACUUUCAGUGAGGAAGAACGCCUGUUGGUUAAUACCCAUCAGGAAAGACAUCACUCACAGAAGAAGCACCGGCUAACUCCGUGCCAGCAGCCGCGGUAAUACGGAGGGUGCGAGCGUUAAUCGGAAUUACUGGGCGUAAAGCGCGCGUAGGUGGCUUGAUAAGCCGGUUGUGAAAGCCCCGGGCUCAACCUGGGAACGGCAUCCGGAACUGUCAAGCUAGAGUGCAGGAGAGGAAGGUAGAAUUCCCGGUGUAGCGGUGAAAUGCGUAGAGAUCGGGAGGAAUACCAGUGGCGAAGGCGGCCUUCUGGACUGACACUGACACUGAGGUGCGAAAGCGUGGGUAGCAAACAGGAUUAGAUACCCUGGUAGUC